UGCGCCACCGCGCCCGGCUUUUU
rnacentral:piRNA from 1 species